rnacentral:lncRNA from 1 species
UGCCAGGUAGAAUGGCAAUCAUUAAAAAGUCAGGAAACAACAGAUGCUGAAGAGGAUGUGGAGAAAUAGGAAUGUUUUACACUGUUGGUGGGAGUCUAAAUUAGUUCAACCAUUGUGGAAGACAGUGUGGCGAUUCCUCAAGGACCUAGAACCAGAAAUACCAUUUGAGCCAGCAAUCCCAUUACUGGGUAUAUACCCAAAAGAUUAUAAAUCAUUCUACUAUAAAGACACAUGCACAUGUAUGUUUAUUGCAGCAUUGUUCACAAUAGCAAAGACUUGAAACCAACCCAAAUCCCCUUCAGUGAUAGACUGGAUAAAGAAAAUGUGGCACAUAGACACCAUGGAAUACUAUGCAGCCAUAAAAAGGAUGAGUUCAUGCCCUUUGCAGGGACAUGGAUGAAGCUGGAAACCAUAAUUCUCAGCAAACUAACACAGGAACAGAAAACCAAACAACGAAUAUUUCACAUGAAAUAAUGUUGAUAUAUAGAUAAUAGACUAUACCACAUUUUUGUGAAUACAUAAAACUGAAUGCUUUCAACGGCACCCAAGUCAUAUUUGAAUGCUUUGCUGCUUAGGAAUUUCUUCUGCUAGAUGCCCUAAAUCAUCUCUCUCAAGUUCAAAGUUCCACACAUCUCUAGGUCAGGGGCAAAAUGCUGCCAGUCUUUUUGCUAAAGGAAGUCCAGUAAUUGGACUUAAUAUCACUAUUAGCAUGUUGGUCAAAGCCAUUUAACAAGUCUCUAGGAAGUUCCAAACUUUCCCACAUCUUCCUGUCCUCUUUUGAGCCCUCCAGACUGUUCCAACCUCUGCCUAUUACCCAGUUCCAAAGUCGCUUCCACAUUAUUGGAUAUCAUUACAGUAGCACCCCACUCCUGGUACCAAUUU